CAAAUACUCCCUCCGUCCCAAAAUUCUUGUCUUAGAUUAGUUUUGAUACAGAUGUAUCUAAUACUAAAACUUGACUUGAUACAUCCGUAUUUAGACAAAUUUAAGACAAGAAUUUUAGGACGGAGGAAGUAUGAU
rfam:Triticum aestivum genome assembly, contig: Triticum_aestivum_CS42_TGACv1_scaffold_220673_3B